rnacentral:rRNA from 1 species
UAGGGAGCGAGCGUUGUCCGGAUUUACUGGGUGUAAAGGGCGUGUAGGCGGAGGAGCAAGUCAGAAGUGAAAUCUCCGGGCUUAACCCGGAAACUGCUUUUGAAACUGUUCCCCUUGAGUACUGGAGAGGCAGGCGGAAUUCCUAGUGUAGCGGUGAAAUGCGUAGAUAUUAGGAGGAACACCAGUGGCGAAGGCGGCCUGCUGGACAGCAACUGACGCUGAGGCGCGAAAGCGUGGGGAGCAAA